AUACGGAGGAUCCGAGCGUUAUCCGGAUUUAUUGGGUUUAAAGGGUGCGCAGGCGGCCAUUUAAGUCAGCGGUUAAAUCGUGGGGCUCAACCCCAUUCUGCCGUUGAUACUGGGUGGCUUGAUUGCGGUCGAGGUUGGCGGAAUUCGUUGUGUAGCGGUGAAAUGCAUAGAUAUGACGAAGAACACCGAUUGCGUAGGCAGCUGACCAGACCGCAAAUGACGCUCAUGCACGAAAGUGCGUGGAUCGAACAGGAUUAGAUACCCUGGUAGUCCGCACAGUAAACGAUGAAUACUUGUUUUCGGCGAUAUAAUGUCGGAGGCAAAGCGAAAGCGAUAAGUAUUCCACCUGGGGAGUACGCCGGCAACGGUGAAACUCAAAUGAAUUGGCGGGG
rnacentral:rRNA from 1 species